CUAAAUAGGUCAAAAAGGCCUAAGGGGUUAGAAUUAUAAGUUUAAGCUAAAUUAUUUUCAAAUUUAAAAAUAAAAGCGAACGGAGGUAGUACUACUUUUUAGGCGUUUCUGAGGUCAUGAAUCUAAAAUUCCUUUCAAUUUGAUUAGAGGAUUGGGUUUCAUGUUCUUAUGCCUUGUACUGUCCAAUAAUAGAAAAUGGUACAUUCUCUGGCUUUCACAUCUCCAGCAACCCUUAUCAGAUAUGGCAAUAUUAGUCCAAAAAUUGGGGCUUUAACUAGGGCAAAUGAGGCAUCUAUUCCGAGAUCAUUAUUCAGAGUUCAGUCUGUGCAAGAUAAUGGUGGAGGGCCUCGGCGGCUAGUUGAUAUUAUCCGUGUCGUGCCAGAGAUUUCAAGAAAUUAUUUUAAAAGCCCAUCAAGGAGGGCACUAUUUGGAGGUAUAUCAUUGCUGGGUGGAUUUUAUGUGGCUCAGACAAUUUCUCUAUCUUUUGGUGCUUUAGGAGUCAAUGAUGUCAUUGCUGCUGUAGUCUGCGUCUUAAUUACCGAGUAUGUGACACGGUUCUAUUACAGUCGGCCUAAAGUGACUUUUCCUAUUGCUCUUUUGAACAACUUCAAGAUGGGUUUUACUUAUGGUCUCUUCAUUGAUGCUUUCAAACUUGCCAGCUGAACUAAUUGUCUCAGUUUUGCAGCAGACAUCUUUCAUGUUCAGCCUCUCAUUAGGAGAUUCAGCUGUGCAAUUCAAUGCCAACUCCAAAAUAGAGGACACACAAUGCAACUUUUUCUUGAAAUCAAUCUCUUCUGGUUCCAAUAAGGUGGCAUCAAUAAUAUCCUCUGGUGUUGCAGACCGCGGCAUAUAUCUGCAGGAAGACUCCCUGAUAAUUGAUUAUAUGUGAGAGCUAAAGUCUCCAACGAGGAGGUGUUGAAAA